UAUAAGUAUCAAUGCAUGUCAGGUAUAAAUUAUUUCCAUUUCAAACAUAAAAUGUCUUCAUCAAAAAUUACAGCAAAGUAAAUGGUUAUACCUUUUUCACGAAUACUUUGAUGAGACACAUACACGUUGAUUUCUGGAGGAAGUUAUCAUCCGAAAGCUAGGAAAAGGUAUAUUGUAGGAGACAAUGCACCGUAUAAUUGUGUUUAUUAUAUGCACUGUUUUGAAAUGUACAGUCAAUGGGUGUCCACUUGUUUGUAGCUGCACGGACACGACGGUUGGUUGCAAGAAUAGAAAUCUAGCAACAGUGCCGUCUGAAAUUCCCAAUUCGACACUCGUAUUAUAUUUGGAAUUCAAUCAAUUAACUACAAUACAGCAAGGAGCAUUUCAAGACCUAAUAGCGCUAAACACACUAAGUUUGAAUGGAAACUAUCUGACAUUUGUCAGGGAAGACACUUUUGAAAAUCUCACUAACUUAAAAUAUCUGUUUUUGGACAGCAAUCAAAUAACUACAAUACAGCAAGGAGCAUUUCAAGACCUACCAGCUCUUAACUACCUGUAUGUAUAUAUUGUUACAAUAUUUUUAUCACGAAGCAAAUGAUAACAAAAUCUAUGGUUAA